rnacentral:rRNA from 1 species
UGACGCUGGCGGCAGGCCUAACACAUGCAAGUCGAGCGGUAGAGAGAAGCUUGCUUCUCUUGAGAGCGGCGGACGGGUGAGUAAUGCCUAGGAAUCUGCCUGGUAGUGGGGGAUAACGCUCGGAAACGGACGCUAAUACCGCAUACGUCCUACGGGAGAAAGCAGGGGACCUUCGGGCCUUGCGCUAUCAGAUGAGCCUAGGUCGGAUUAGCUAGUUGGUGAGGUAAUGGCUCACCAAGGCGACGAUCCGUAACUGGUCUGAGAGGAUGAUCAGUCACACUGGAACUGAGACACGGUCCAGACUCCUACGGGAGGCAGCAGUGGGGAAUAUUGGACAAUGGGCGAAAGCCUGAUCCAGCCAUGCCGCGUGUGUGAAGAAGGUCUUCGGAUUGUAAAGCACUUUAAGUUGGGAGGAAGGGCAGUAAAUUAAUACUUUGCUGUUUUGACGUUACCGACAGAAUAAGCACCGGCUAACUCUGUGCCAGCAGCCGCGGUAAUACAGAGGGUGCAAGCGUUAAUCGGAAUUACUGGGCGUAAAGCGCGCGUAGGUGGUUCGUUAAGUUGGAUGUGAAAUCCCCGGGCUCAACCUGGGAACUGCAUUCAAAACUGUCGAGCUAGAGUAUGGUAGAGGGUGGUGGAAUUUCCUGUGUAGCGGUGAAAUGCGUAGAUAUAGGAAGGAACACCAGUGGCGAAGGCGACCACCUGGACUGAUACUGACACUGAGGUGCGAAAGCGUGGGGAGCAAACAGGAUUAGAUACCCUGGUAGUCCACGCCGUAAACGAUGUCAACUAGCCGUUGGGAGCCUUGAGCUCUUAGUGGCGCAGCUAACGCAUUAAGUUGACCGCCUGGGGAGUACGGCCGCAAGGUUAAAACUCAAAUGAAUUGACGGGGGCCCGCACAAGCGGUGGAGCAUGGUGGUUUAUUCGAAGCAACGCGAGAACCUUACAGGCU